rnacentral:rRNA from 1 species
CCUACGGUAGGCUGCAGUGAGGAAUAUUGGUCAAUGGACGAGAGUCUGAACCAGCCAAGUAGCGUGAAGGAUGACUGCCCUAUGGGUUGUAAACUUCUUUUAUAAAGGAAUAAAACGCGGCACGUGUGCCUUUUUGCAUGUACUUUAUGAAUAAGGAUCGGCUAACUCCGUGCCAGCAGCCGCGGUAAUACGGAGGAUCCGAGCGUUAUCCGGAUUUAUUGGGUUUAAAGGGAGCGUAGAUGGGUUGUUAAGUCAGUUGUGAAAGUUUGCGGCUCAACCGUAAAAUUGCAAUUGAUACUGGCAGUCUUGAGUACAGUUGAGGUAAGCGGAAUGCGUGGUGUAGCGGUGAAAUGCUUAGAUAUCACGAAGAACCCCGAUUGCGAAGGCAGCUUACUAAACUGUGACUGACAUUGAUGCACGAAAGUGUGGGUAUCAAACAGGAUUAGAUACCCGAGUAGUC